AGGACACCAGGCAAUCAGGGAAUCUUGAAGAGAGCUGCCUCCUUACGGAUCCCCAGGACAGAUACAAUGAUACUUUCAAAUCUUGCCCCUUGACUGUGGCUCUGCAGAUCACAUCUCAGUAAUGUAACCACGAAGAAACAGAACCCAGCAAUGGACAUCAUAGGAGCUGGAGCAGGAAAAUACAUCUAGGAGAGAAGUUUAGAAACCUGAAGGACUGUGCCCAGAUAUUCCCUGAGGGCUCAAAGAAGGGGAAACAGAGGUCCAGACAAGUGC
rnacentral:lncRNA from 1 species